CUUGAGCUCACCUAGGACGGCUCUAGGAACUUCCAGAAACGACCUUGAGCGGGGCUCGCGAUACAGCUGUUGUAAGAAUUUAAGCAGAAAGACUGCUAAGUGUGCCAUAUAGUUUUACUGUUUGGGCCUGGAAGAGUAUCACCUGCUUCCUGUGAGGACAAGGGAUUCACCUGAAGGUCAUCUUUAAGAGAAAAAAGAUCUGGCUGGAUCACACACAGAUCUUUGACUGGUGAAAAACAAAUAUUAUUAACCGGCUGAAUACUAAUGGUUGGAUACAGCUGAAUACAAAGGAGGUACAUGUGAGAUUGCUGGAAAUCUCAGGAGAUUUCCAAUCCUACACACAUGUCGUUGUGUAAUCCCCUCCUCAAGGGUGUGAACAGACCUAGUGACUUCCUCCUACAGUAGAGGUGACAGAGUGUCACUUCCACGGUUAGGCUACUUCCAUCCUGCUACCUGAUGUCCUGCCUCCCGGCUGUGAUGAAGCCAUGCUGCACAGGCCCAUGUGGUAAGAACCAAGGAUGGCCCACAGACAGUAUCUGGGAGCUGAACACUGUUGAAAACCACACAAACUUAAAAGUAAAUUCCUCCCGAGCCUUCAGAGUCCAGUCCGGGUCAACAUCUUGACUGUAACCUUACUGGAAGCCCUGCAGCUGGCACAAAUAAACUAUACCCAGACUACCAACCUGGAAAGACUAUGGGUAAUAAGUGUGUUUUGUGUUAAACCACUAACACUGUGGUAAUUUGUUGCAUAGCAACAAUAGAGAAUAAUUAAAUUUGGAACACAAUUAUUUAUUUUUUGUAUUUCUUUUCUUUUUUAUUUAUUUAUUUAU